rnacentral:misc_RNA from 1 species
UCUCCGUUGGUGAGCCAGCGGAGGGAUCAUUACCGAGUUUACAACUCCCAAACCCCUGUGAACAUACCAUUUGUUGCCUCGGCGGUGCCUGCUUCGGCAGCCCGCCAGAGGACCCAAACCCUUGAUUUUAUACAGUAUCUUCUGAGUAAAUGAUUAAAUAAAUCAAAACUUUCGACAACGGAUCUCUUGGUUCUG